CAAGGGAUAUGUGGUGAUCUACACUUGAGGUGUGCAUAAUUGCAUAUUCUUUUGAAUAUUGUGUGAAUUCUCAAAAAUAUAUAUUAAAUUUGUGUACGAUGAACCGGGUUUUGAGGAAAGUGAUGGAUGUCAUGGCAUCGAAGGGCCUGCUUAUAGAAGAUAAUGUCAUGUCCAGGUACUUCGUUAAUCGCUUGGUUGCUUGUAAAGUUCUCGAAAUUAGUAUCAACAGUAAACAGACAUUCAACCUAUUCUUUAGUAGGUUUUAUACCUCUCUUUUGCAUUGUCUCCAUUUGGUACUCUCCAACCCAAAAGGUUCCAUAUCGGAGCAUGUAUCAGGUUUUGUAGCAUUAUUAUAAACAUUCUUCAUGUAUGUCCUAGCUAAUAAAGGGCUUUUACUGUUACCAAAUUCUAGCUGUAAAGAGAAGGAAGUUGUCUCUUGGCAUACAGGGUCUUUGUCAAGUUGAUCCUAAAUCAGUUAGUGCUCAUUGGAAGAUACUUUUGCUAACCAGUGAUGUGCUAUAACCAAGGAAGUAUUAGGCAACUCUAAUGACAUGCUUGCUUUUCAAUCCCAUCUUAAAGACACGGAUUCCAGCUGCAUCAACUUUAGCUGCUCUGUUGGAUGGUCCUUCAUCCAUUUUUCUACAAGUAGCAGAAUACAAAGAAUCCACAAAACGUGGACCUUUUACUACUCUUUCAAGCUCCCUCGGUUAAAUUCUAAUGCAGCUUCAUACAGGCUUACUAUACUUGAUUAGUCAUGAAAUGCAUAGUGGAUUGUUGGCAUCCUCAUUCAAAGUUCUCAUGCUUCUGAUUGCUGCUACUCCUUCACUACUUUGGGGCUGGUCACACAAACAUCAGUGUAUCAUUGGUCAAUAGAAGGUGAUUCGGAGCCUAUAAAGAUGUUUGAUAGAACAACUAAUUCGAUAAAUAACCAAACAAUUAACUAUUGUUGUGGUCCGUCUGAAAAGUGACUUCUC